CCUACGGGUGGCAGCAGUGAGGAAUAUUGGUCAAUGGACGAGAGUCUGAACCAGCUAAGUAGCGUGAAGGAUGACUGCCCUAUGGGUUGUAAACUUCUUUUAUAUGGGAAUAAAACAGGGUAUGCAUACCCUCUUGUAUGUACCCGAUGAAUAAGGAGCGGCUAACUCCGUGCCAGCAGCCGCGGUAAUAAGGAGGAUACGAGCGUUAUCCGGAUUUAUUGGGUUUAAAGGGCGCGUAGGUGGAUGGUUAAGUCAGUUGUGAAAGUUUGGGGCUCAACCGUAAAAUGGCAGUUGAAACUGGCAGUCUUGAGUACAGUAGAGGUGGGCGGAAUUCGUGGUGUAGCAGUGAAAUGCGUAGAUAUCGCGAAGAACUCCGGUUGCGAAGGCAGGUCACUGGACUGCAACUGACGCUGAGGCACGAAGGUGUGGGUAUCGAACAGGAUUAGAUACCCUUGUAGUC
rnacentral:rRNA from 1 species